rnacentral:lncRNA from 10 species
CUUUCAAUGCCAGGAGCAUGUGGUGUAUGGAUCCCCCCUUACACCAGUACUGUGCACUCCUCCUGAUGAUGGAGAGAUUGGGAGGGACCACCUGGCUAGGAUUGCUGGCUCUCCUGACACCUUCUCGUGGCAUCCAUGUGGUUUAUCCAGUUUUCUGAAAAUGAUACCUGCAAUAUAUCAGACAGAAGCUGAUCCAUUAGCUCAGGUUCGUCAGGUCCAGAGGGAAGAUGACAUGGACGGGAACCACAGCUGACCCAUAAUGGACAUUAAGGGUACUGGAAGAGCAAGUGUCUCUCCA